GGCGGCAGCAGCAGCUGCUGCUGCCUCUGAGCCGCCGCCUCCCAGCCAGCGCGGCAGCAACUGAGUGGCCCGUUACCAGUAACUCACAUGGAACCGCGAGGCCUCGGGAUACGUACGCGCGGACACCCUAGAGCCGAGCUUUCCUGGAAAUGGCUGGAUAAGUGCCAAGUCCAACUUUGAGUAAUAGGCUUACAGCCAUUCUCUGACACCUGCUCUGGCCACAACACUGUAAUUGUUUCCUGAGCACGAAACAAGAGGGGCACAUUUUUGGACACUGAGAACAUGUCAUACUUCAGGUGAUGGGUGAUAGAAUACAUGCUUUGUACUCACGUUACUUUAACCAAGACAACUGAGAAGGGAAAAGGAACUGCUUUACCAGGUAAAGGCACAACACACAAGAACAGAAUGCAAGAGACAACAGCACAUAAAGGAAACACCUAAAGGAAAACAUCAGUCUGCAGAAACAGGGCAUUGCUGGAAACAAGGGGCGAACUAAUUAAAGAGGAGAUUGAAACAAAGGUUUUCCCCUUCAAAGGUGCUCUGCAAGUGAUUUUUUUAAUUGAACUUGUUCCCUUUUUUACUUCUUAUGAUACAUAAAGGACUUAGAAAACUUUUUCCUUUAUUAAAGAUUGUUUUGCUCAUUAUCUUAAAUGCCAGGAAUGUCAACUCUGCUCUUCCCUAGUUUUGCUGUAAGAGCCACUUGAUAUCUCAAAGAAUGUACAUUGUUAACUCUUACACCCUAACUUAACGGAUGGAAGAUGGUGAAUCUUUACUGUUUUGGAGAAAGAAUAUUGUUAGUGAUUCAAGUUAAAAAGGUGUUAACGAUAACAAAAAAGAAUUAAACAGUCAUCAGACAUAUUUCCUGUUAUUUGUUUAAAUGUUAUUUCAAUCUUGGCCUAUGUUUUCCAAACAUGGGUGCCUGAAGCUCAGUGCCAAAAACCAUAUUUAGGCUCCUAAAAUAAAAGUGGCGAUAGGUACUACAGCUCCUAGUGACUUCAGUAUGUGAAGAGAGGAUAUUCAUGAAACUACAGAAGAAUUCUGUGUAUGAGGUCAAAAUAUUGCAACAGUUUGUAAGUGAUGUGAUAAAGCAGCAGCUGGAUAUGGAUAAGAGGCUAUAACACCAAAUUCAACACAAAACACAGCCUAUAAACAAAAGAGAUCAUAACGGAUUAUUUCCCUCUGUACGAUAAUUUUAAAACAAUGUGAUGGCCAUAGCCAUUAUGAGUCUGAGUGUACGGUUAAAAUGCUAAUGGAUAUGAAAAGGGAAACUUGGCAACCAGUAGAACACAGAUUUUUUUUUAAACCAAAAUGUAAUUUAGAAGGUAUACUGUACAGUUGUUAUGUGCUGGUCUCUUCUUACCCUUGCACUACCAUGUGUCCCUAUUAUAAGCUUCUCUUUGUUUCUCACAGCUAAUACAAUGGCGGGGCAAUGGCAAAUAAUGGGCUGAGUGCCAACAGACUGAAAAUGCAGAUGUCAGACAAAACGGAUAUACAGCUUGGCUAACGAAGCCAGAGCCUGCAGCAAGAAGUUGUCAAUAGUGCUUUGCAAUAUCAAGUUAUUUAACAUAUACAAAAUUCACUGCAAAAAUUUACUGUUAAUGCAACAUCAUUGUUGAGAAUUUACAGUAUCUACAAAGGAGACAGGAAAUUCAGACUACUACAGCUUUACCUGUAACAAAAUGCUCAGCAGCUCAGGUUGCUAUGUGUACGUCAUUCUGGUGCUCCAGUCACUCAGCUGGCUUGCCAUUGAAUAAAGAGUCCAAUUUAAGGUCUCCAGCUUCAUAUUCAAGCUCUCAGUGGAAUCAACCCAAGCAACUCAAGAGAUUGCCUCUCCCCGUGAGUCCUUGACCUCUCAUGCCAGCUGCAGUCCACCAGAAAUAUCAGACUGUCAACCAAUAGCUCCUAAAGCUUUCAAAACAGCCUAAAGCAUCUAAAUUUCUAAUCUGGAACUAAGGCAGAGAGUAGAUUCCUCCUGAAUGCUGCCAUCCUGGAUUGAGGCCUACAGCCAUGCUGAUACCGUCCAAUCAUUUGACGGAGAUGCCAAUUCAAAUCUUUUGGUGAAAGCAAACAACUGCCUAGCACUGAUUAUUAUUUUUAUAUUCCAGUAGCCCCAAUCAGAUCAGGGGUAGGCAUCCUACAAACAUAUUAAAAGACUGAGGUUUCCCUGAAGAGUUUACAAACUAAAUAGACAAAUCAGAUGAAGAGUGAAAGAAAAGGCAUUGAGCACACAAGCUGUAAUCAGUGAUAAGAGGCUAUGUGAUGUUAACUACAUAUGUUUUUUAAAACACUAUUUUCUUGUUUUUUAAAAUAUAAAUUUUGGAAUAGGGUGAGGGGGGAAGGAGAUGAUGUAACAGAAGCACACAAAUAGUAGGAAAAGGAAGGAAGGGAGGAAAAGGGAGAGAAAUACAGGAAGGAUGGAGGGGAACAGUGAGGUCAGUUUUCUAGGUAUGAAAGGAACAAUUGCAGGUUGAUUGCUGCAGGUUGAAGCAGCAACUCAUGAUCAACGGAAUCAAAAUCUGCUGAGAGGUCCAGCAUAAGAAUAAAUGCCAGUUGACCUCAAAUUAACGAAAGAUAAUUCAUGACCAUGACAAGUGUCAUCCCAAUGGAAUGCUGGAACCCAGAAUGGAAUCUGCCAGGGUGGUGGUGUCCAGAUGCACAUGGAGUUGACAAGCUUUGCCUUCUCAACCACCUCUCCAAAGGUGGAAGUUUAAGAUCUUGCAGGAUUGAAUAGUAAGUACUGCCACAUCAAAGGAAAGUAUCCUGAAGAGAGGUUAGACCUUAGUGUGUUUAAGAAUUGUCAGCACCCUCUCCUUGCUUAGUGAGGUGUUAGCAGUGCCUCUCAAUACUGAUACCAUGGCUACCAUGGGUGACACUUGCUUUGAGACACCAGUGUGAAUAGGGAUCAGGACCACAAGUGAUGGCCCUCAAGAAACCGAGAAGACAACAGAUGCCUCCAUCAGAAAACAAAUUUAUGUUUAAUUAUGAAAGCAAAUGUCCCUCAAACAGAAAUGCCAGAGACCACCCUAGAACUAAACAGCCUUUGGGUGCCAUCAUAAUAUAAAUAUUUACAAAUAAAAAUAAUAAUAAUCUACUUAAAACAUCUCCUCACAGCAGUCAUUUGAAGAAAUUACAAACAGGCAGACCAGAAUAAUCAGAUUGUGCAAAGGACUAAGACUCCAAAUGGCUGAGGACAAGUAAUGUUUUUUGGCCUCAGUCACAGCUUUUUUGUACGUUUCUUUUCAACUCCAAAUGACUCCUCUGUUAAAUCCCCUCCCA